rnacentral:rRNA from 1 species
GACGAACGCUGGCGGCGUGCCUAACACAUGCAAGUCGAGCGGGGUUCCCUUCGGGGAACUUUAGCGGCGGACGGGUGAGUAACACGUGGGUAACCUGCCUCAUAGAGGGGGAUAGCCUCCCGAAAGGGAGAUUAAUACCGCAUAACAUUAUUCUGUCGCAUGACAGAAUAAUCAAAGGAGUAAUCCGCUAUGAGAUGGACCCGCGGCGCAUUAGCUAGUUGGUGAGGUAACGGCUCACCAAGGCGACGAUGCGUAGCCGACCUGAGAGGGUGAUCGGCCACAUUGGAACUGAGACACGGUCCAGACUCCUACGGGAGGCAGCAGUGGGGAAUAUUGCACAAUGGGUGAAAGCCUGAUGCAGCAACGCCGCGUGAGUGAAGAAGGCCUUCGGGUUGUAAAGCUCUGUCUUUUGGGACGAUAAUGACGGUACCAAAGGAGGAAGCCACGGCUAACUACGUGCCAGCCGCCGCCGUAAUAC